rnacentral:rRNA from 1 species
GAUGAACGCUGACAGAAUGCUUAACACAUGCAAGUCAACUUGAACUUCGGUUUGGGUGGCGGACGGGUGAGUAACGCGUAAAGAACUUGCCUCACAGAUAGGGACAACAUUUGGAAACGAAUGCUAAUACCUGAUAUUAUGAUUAUAUGGCAUCGUAUAAUUAUGAAAGCUAUAUGCGCUGUGAGAGAGCUUUGCGUCCCAUUAGCUAGUUGGAGAGGUAACGGCUCACCAAGGCGAUGAUGGGUAGCCGGCCUGAGAGGGUGAUCGGCCACAAGGGGACUGAGACACGGCCCUUACUCCUACGGGAGGCAGCAGUGGGGAAUAUUGGACAAUGGACCAAGAGUCUGAUACAGCAAUUCUGUGUGCACGAUGAAGUUUUUCGGAAUGUAAAGUGCUUUCAGUUGGGAAGAAAAAAAUGACGGUACCAACAGAAGAAGUGACGGCUAAAUACGUG